rnacentral:rRNA from 1 species
GACGAACGCUGGCGGCGUGCUUAACACAUGCAAGUCGAACGGAAAGGCCCUGCUCUUGUGGGGUUCUCGAGUGCCGAACGCGUGAGUAACACACGAGUAACCUGUCCUUGACAUUGGGAUAACUUCAGGGAACUGGGGCUAAUACCGGAUAGGAGCUCUUGCAGCAUGGUGUGGGUUGGAAAGUUUCGGCGGUUCUGGCUGGUCUCGCGGCUUACCAGCUUGUUUGGGUGGUAGUGGUUUACCAAGGCUUCGACGGGUAGCCGGCCUGAGAGGGUGACCGGCGACAAUGGGACUGAGAGACGGACCAGUAUGGUACGGGAGGCAACAGUGGGGAGUAUUACGGAAUGGGCGGAAGUCAGUUAUGGCAACGUCGCGAGCGGGAUGACGGCCUACGGGUUGUAAACCGCUUUCGCCUGUGACGAAGCGUGAGUGACGGUAAUGGGUAAAGAAGCACCGGCUAACUACGUG